rnacentral:rRNA from 1 species
CACGGGGGGAGCAAGCGUUGUCCGGAUUUACUGGGCGUAAAGAGCGUGUAGGCGGGAUGGUCAGUCAUAAGUGAAAUCUCUCGGCUUAACCGGGAACCUGCUUAUGAUACUGCCAAUCUUGAGUUCGGAAGAGGGAAGUGGAAUUCCUGGUGUAGCGGUGAAAUGCGUAGAUAUCAGGAAGAACACCAAUGGCGAAGGCACUCUACUGGGCCAUAACUGACACUGAGAGACGACAGCUAGGGGAGCAAAUGGG